AGCCUUAUAGUCUAGAAAUUAUGAUGUUAAAUUGCAAAUUUAAAGAGGAAUAAAAAUUCUAAGGCUU
rnacentral:tRNA from 1 species